UUUUUCCAUCCUGGUUGAACUCUCUAGCGUGACACUAAUAAGUCCAUAGCAUCAUAUAUGCGGCUUAGCAGGGCGCAGGGGGCAUAGCCUAACAAAUGUGUGGAGUCAAUUGGUUUCCCAAGGGGACGCUACUGAGAAGCUGGCUCACCAAGUCCCGACCCAGACUGCUGCUGCUCAUCGCCGGCUUGAAGAGGCCUCAGGUCACCCUCAUGCGCAGGAAAAGGAUGAAACGCACGAAAGUAGCAAAGGCCACGUAAGCGAAGCUGCAGUCGUAUGCCGCAUUUCACUUGAGUCGCUGACACAGAGAGAAGCUCCAUCUGCCGUCGACAUGAACACAGACCCAGAAACAGAGAAAGCAUCUCAGUCGUCUCUGCCAAACAUACGAACUAAUCGCCAAAGCAGAAGCGGCGCAGAGUUUGCUGUGAAAAUGAGGGAUCUUCCACAAAGAUCCAGACCCCCCGACUAAGAUCCGAAGCCUCCCAGUGACAUUUGUUCAUCUUUCUCUCAAAUACACUUCUGUCAUGCUUCUGUUCACUACACAGCGUGUGACAGCACAUUAUUGCUCGUGCCUUUGCUUGACAGUGCUUUCCUUUCCUGUGUUCUCUGGUCAGGAUUUCAGGGACUUUUAUUUUUCGAUUCCUAAUGAUGUGUGUGGGUGAAAAAGAACAAGAAAAAUUAUGAAAAAAUAAAGAAAAACGUAUAAUUGCCAUGAUAGUAACCAACAGCACACCAGUGGUUUAUUCAUACUGUCGAGCCGUCAGACUGACAGCUGAUGGUCCAUUACUGUAUCCUGAGGAGUAAAAUAAUUCAUUUAAAUGUCUAUAUCCAAUGAAAAAAAAAAAAUAUAUAUAUAAGAGUUAUCUCAAUCCAAAUGGACCAUUAUGUGGCCCCAUUAUCAUUUAAUCCCCCCCCCCCAAAAAAA